AUUAGUGAGCAGGAGCAGCCAGCUCAGCCUUCUGAGUCUUCUGGGGAGGUUGAAUCUUCUCAGACUCGGCAGGAGACCCCAGCUCAGCCUCCAGAAGAGAUGGAACCUCCUGCAAACCAAGAGGAGGCCCCAACUGAGCCUCCAGGUCCUCCUGUAGAGCCUGAACUUUCCCCCAGUGAGCAGGAGCAGCCAGCUCAGCCUUCUGGGGAGGUUGAAUCUUCUCCAGCCCAGCAGGAGACCCCAGCUCAGCCUCCAGAACAUCAUGAAGUCACCGUUUCACCUCCAGGUCACCAUCAAACUCAGCAUUCAGAUUUGCCCAAUGUCUCUGUUAAGCCUCCAGACAUGCAGCUCACCAUAGCAACAGAGCCUAGUGCAGAGGUGGGAACUUCUCCAGUCCACCAGGAGGCUACAGCUCAGCUCUCAGGACCAGGUAAUGAUGUAGAACCUCCCACUAUCCAGCACGGGGGCCCACCUCUUCCUCCAGAGUCACCGGAAGAUGCUGGACCUUUAGCAAUUCAACAGGAGACUUCAGUUCAAUCUCCGGAACCUAUUAAUAAUGAGAACCCCUCUCCAACCCAGCAGGAAGCUGCAGCUGAGCAUCCACAGACUGCUGAGAAGGGUAAGUCUUCUCUAACCCAGCAGGAGGCCCCAGCUGAGACUCCAGAGCUCCCUAAUGUAGUUGUAGCUCAAUCUCCGGAACAUUCAAACCUGACUCAAGCCACAGUUCAACCUUUGGACCUGGGGCUUACCAUCACUCCAGAAUCCACAACAGAAGUUGAACUUUCUCCAACCAUGCAGGAGACCCCAACUCAUCCUCCUAAGAAAGUUGUACCCCAACUUCCAGUAUAUCAAGAGGUUACAAUUCCAACACCAGGUCAGGAUCAGGCUCAGCAUCCAAUGUCACCCAGCAUUACAGUUCAACCUUUGGACCUGGGACUUACCAUCACUCCAGAACCCACUACGGAGGUUGGACAUUCUACACCCCUGAAGAAGAAUGUAGUUCCUCCAAAGCACCCUAAGGUGACACUUCCACAUCCAGACCAGGUUCAGACUCAGCAUUCAAACCUGACUCAAGCCACAGUUCAACCUUUGGAUUUGGGGCUUACCACCACUCCAGAAUCCACAACAGAGAUUGAACCUUCUGCAGCCCUGACGACUACAGCUCCUCCUCCAGAACACCCUGAGGUGACACUUCCACCUUCAGACAAGGGUCGGGCUCAGCAUUCAAACCUGACUCAAGUCACACUUCCACCUCUGGACCUGGAGCUUACCAUAACUACAGAACCUACUACAGAGGUUAAACCGUCUCCAACCACGGAGGAGACCUCAACUCAGCCUCCAGACCUGGGGCUUGCCAUAACUCCAGAGCCCACUACAGAGACUGGACAUUCUACAGCCCUGGAGAAGACUACAGCUCCUCAUCCAGACCAGGUUCAGACUCUGCAUCGAAAACUGACUGAAGUCACAGGUCCACCUACUGAACUAGAACCUACUCAGGAUUCACUGGUGCAGUCUGAAAGUUACGCCCAAAAUAAGGCUUUAACCGCACCAGAGGAACAGUAGGCCUCCACAAGCACCAACAUAUGUGAGCUCUGUACCUGCGGAGGUGAGACGCUGUCGUGUAUUGAUCUCAGCCCAAAACAGAGGCUCUGCCAAGUGCCUGUGCCAGAGCCCAACACCUACCAUGGCACCUUCACCAUCUUAAAUUUCCAAGGAAACUAUAUUUCUUACAUUGAUGGAAAUGUAUGGAAAGCAUACAGUUGGACCGGGAAACUAAUUCUCAAUGAAAAUUAUUUGACUGAAUUACAUAACGAUUCAUUUAAAGGCCUGCUAUCCCUCCAGUAUUUAGAUUUAUCCUGCAAUAAAAUACAGUCUAUCGAAAGACAUACAUUUGAACCACUACCAUUUUUGCAGUUUAUAAAUCUUGGUUGCAAUUUACUCACAGAACUGAGCUUUGGAACAUUUCAGGCCUGGCAUGGAAUGCAGUUUUUACACAAGUUAAUUCUCAAUCGCAAUCCUCUGACAACUGUUGAAGAUCCAUAUCUCUUUAAAUUGUCAGCAUUUAAAUAUCUAGACACGGGAACAAUGCAAGUCCCACUUACAACAAUUGAGAACAUUCUCGUGAUGACUGUUGAACUGGAGAAACUGAUCUUACCUAGCCAUAUGACCUGCUGCCUCUGCCAAUUUAAAAAUAGCACUGAGGCUGUCUGCAAGACAGUCAAGCUGCAUUGCAGCAGUGCAUUUCUGACAAACACCAUACAUUGUCUGAAGAAGCAUCUGUAGAGAAUCCAGGAGUGUUCAUGAAGGUGUUACAAGCCCAGAAGAAGCACACGAGCACUGAGCUGACUAUUGAGCCGGAGGCAGCCUCAGACAGCAAUGGCAUCAAUUUGUCAGGCUUUGGGAGUGGGCAGCUAGACACCAAUGAUGAGAGGGAUGUUAUCAGUGCACUAAGUUACAUCUUGCUUUAUUUCUCAGCGGUAAAUCUAGAUGUGAAAUCAAUGUUGUUACCCUUCAUUAAUCUGCUUUCUUCAAAUGUGCAAGAUGGAGAUAGGCUCCUGGGUAUUUUGAAUAACAAUACAAAGAGCCCCUCUCUUCAACCUGCAUCCAACAACUCAACUUAUGAAAAUAAAUUGAGAAAGCUGUAUUUGCUGGAAAGUAUGUUAGAUGCAGAAAUACAAGAAAAAAUUGAUGAAGUUAAAAGGGAAGAAAAAACUGCCAUGCUUAUGCAGUCCAGCCUUCUAGGUAACAAAUUUAAAUGCCAAAUAUUUGAAAAGAAAUUAGAAACUAUCUAACCACAGGAAAGCAGCCUGGCAAAGAUUCAAAGUGUAGGCAAAAACCUGCAGAGAGUGAACAGAGUCCUCAUGGGCCCAAGGAGCAUCUUGAAAAGGCACUUCAAAGAGGUGGAAAGCAGAGGAUCAGGAGGGAACAGGGUGCCCAGGCAUUUGCAGAGAACGCUGCCAAAGAAAAAAGGCUCGGGAGUCCAGCCCCAAGGGAGCUGAGACAGCCUCACAUAGAGCAGGGGCCUGACAAGUUAGUGGGAAACACCAUCUACACCAAGCCUUCAUUCAUCCAAGAGCAUAAGGCCGCAGUCUCCUCUGUGCUGAAACCCUUCUCCAUGGGUGUGCCUUCUGCCUCCACCCCUGCAAAAGCCCUACCUCAGGUCAGAGACAGAGCAAAAGACUUAACCUACACCAUUUUCAUUUUAGAAAAUGCAAAGGCUAGAGUUAAAAAUAUGAAGGCUGCUAAACCAAUCGUACAUUCC
ensembl:lncRNA novel transcript